rnacentral:rRNA from 1 species
GAUGAACGCUAGCGGCAGGCUUAAUACAUGCAAGUCGAGGGGCAGCAUAAUUGUAGCAAUACAGUUGAUGGCGACCGGCAAACGGGUGCGGAACACGUACAGAACCUUCCUUCGAGCGGGGAAUAGCCCAGAGAAAUUUGGAUUAAUACCCCAUAGUAUUACGGAGUGGCAUCACUUUGUAAUUAAAGAUUUAUCACUUGAAGAUGGCUGUGCGGCUGAUUAGGUAGUUGGCGGGGUAACGGCCCACCAAGCCUGCGAUCAGUAACUGGUGUGAGAGAACGACCAGUCACACGGGCACUGAGACACGGGCCCGACUCCUACGGGAGGCAGCAGCAAGGAAUAGUGGGCAAUGGACGAAAGUCUGUACCAGCCAUGCCGCGUGAAGGAUGAAGGUCCUCUGGAUUGUAAACUUCUUUUAUAUGGGACGAAAAAAGGCUUUUCUAAGUCGUCUGACGGUACCAUAUGAAUAAGCACCGGCUAACUCCGUGCCAGCAGCCGCGGUAAAAC